rnacentral:rRNA from 1 species
CCUACGGGAGGCAGCAGUAGGGAAUCUUCCGCAAUGGACGAAAGUCUGACGGAGCAACGCCGCGUGAACGAUGAAGGCCUUCGGGUCGUAAAGUUCUGUUGUUAGGGAAGAACAAGUGUUAGUUGAAUAAGCUGGCACCUUGACGGUACCUAACCAGAAAGCCACGGCUAACUACGUGCCAGCAGCCGCGGUAAUACGUAGGUGGCAAGCGUUGUCCGGAAUUAUUGGGCGUAAAGCGCGCGCAGGCGGUUUCUUAAGUCUGAUGUGAAAGCCCCCGGCUCAACCGGGGAGGGUCAUUGGAAACUGGGAAACUUGAGUGCAGAAGAGGAAAGUGGAAUUCCAAGUGUAGCGGUGAAAUGCGUAGAGAUUUGGAGGAACACCAGUGGCGAAGGCGACUUUCUGGUCUGUAACUGACGCUGAGGCGCGAAAGCGUGGGGAGCAAACAGGAUUAGAUACCCUGGUAGUCCACGCUGUAAACGAUGAGUGCUAAGUGUUAGAGGGUUUCCGCCCUUUAGUGCUGAAGUUAACGCAUUAAGCACUCCGCCUGGGGAUACGGUCGCAAGACUGAAACUCAAAGGAAUUGACGG